rnacentral:rRNA from 1 species
AUACGGAGGGGGCUAGCGUUGUUCGGAAUUACUGGGCGUAAAGCGCGCGUAGGCGGCCAUGCAAGUUGGGCGUGAAAGCCCGGGGCUCAACCCCGGAAUUGCGUUCAAGACUGCAUGGCUCGAGACCGAGAGAGGUGAGUGGAAUUCCCAGUGUAGAGGUGAAAUUCGUAGAUAUUGGGAAGAACACCAGUGGCGAAGGCGGCUCACUGGCUCGGUACUGACGCUGAGGUGCGAAAGCGUGGGGAGCAAACAGGAGUAGAAACCCCAGUAGUCC